rnacentral:rRNA from 1 species
UUGAAAGGGAAACGAUUGAAGUCAGUCGUACUGGCGGGAAAUCAACUUCUCGAGUGCUUGUCGUGGAUUACGUUGAGCUUCACGGCCUUCGUUGUUUGCGUUAUGGUGCUUUUGAGGUGUACUUUUCCGUAUGGUAGGUCAACAUCGAUUUUGAUCGUCAUAAAAUGAUCGGAGGAAUGUGGCUCUGAUUUCGGUUGGAGUGUUAUAGCCUUUGGUAGAUGUGACGAUUGGGAUCGAGGAUUGCAACGAAUACCCUUUGGGCUAUCCGUCUGACCUCUGAAAGUCGCUCGGGUGUUGAAAGCGUGCUUAUGACAUUCUAGUUGGCGGUCAAAAGGUUAGAACGUGAUUACAUUCGUUAAGGAUGU